AAUGAGUUCUGAGCCUCCUCGGCUCCCGGCUCUCCUGCCUGCCGCAGGUGUUUAUACAGCAGUUGGGCGACGUUUCCCGCGAAGGAGGCUGUGACUUCAUUCCGGAGCGCCCCGGGCUGGGGAGGCUCCUCCCUGGUUCGCAGAAACCACGGGGGCAGGGAGGAGCGGAGCUCUGCCUGCCCCCAGGGGAGAGCAGGGCUGGCACCGCGCAAAGCUCCCCCCCUCCGCCCACGGGAGACUGAUUUCGGCCUCCUGAGCUCGGGACCCCUGACUGUGGAGUGUCAGAGACGGAGGAGGACUUAGUGUUCUUGUCCAACCCCCUCCCCGCUUUUCACAGGUUGGGGAAAUGGGCGCCUGGAGAACGGAAAUUCAGUUAUCAAAAUUGACUCCAGAAGAGAGAAACUAACAGAAUAAUAACAAUGGAAGAAAUUGAGAGCAUUAUCAGAAAGCAUCAUCAUGCCAAACUCCAGGCUCAGAUUGUGUUACAGGUUAAAAAAAAGUCCUUCAUGAAAACGAAAGAUCUUAAGCAACACGAUGGAUUCAGAAGCCUAUGAAAAGAGGCCACCAGUACUAACAUCUUCAGAACAAGAUAUAUCACCUCAUAUUGCAAAUGUUGAUGAAAUGAAGCAUUACUUGUGUGGCGGCUGUGCAGCCUUCAACAACGUCGCAAUCACAUUUCCCAUUCAGAAGGUCGUCUUUCCACAACAGCUGUAUGGCCUCAAAACACGGGAUGCAAUACUUCAGUUGAGAAGGGAUGGAUUUCGAAACUUGUAUCCUGGAAUCCUUCCCCUAUUAAUGCAGAGGACGACUACACUUGCACUUAUGUUUGGUCUCUAUGAGGAUUUAUCCUGCCUUCUCCACAAGUAUGUCAGUGCUCCAGAGUUUGCAACCUGUUGCGUGGCAGCAGUGCUUGCAGGGACAGCAGAAGCAAUUUUCACUCCACUAGAAAUAGUUCAGACAUUGCUUCAAGACCACAAGCAUCAUAACAAAUUCACCAACACUUAUCAGACCUUCAAGGCACUGAAAUAUAAUGGAAUUGGAGAGUAUUAUCGAGGCCUGGUACCCAUUCUUUUCUUGAAUGAACUCAGUAAUGUCUUGUUUGAGGCCUUUGAGGUCCCAUUAAGGAGUAUCUGCCUACCGAAAUGACUCACAGUGCUCGUUUGGUCAAUGAUUUUAUCUGUGAAGGUCUAUUGGGUGCCAUGUUGGGAUUCUUGUUUUUUUUUCCAAUUAAAUGUUGCAAAAACUCGCAUACAGUCUCAGAUUGGUGGGUAAUUUCAUUCUUUCCCAAGGUUUUCCAAAAAAAUCUGGCUGGAAAGGGACGGAAAAUUGAUAAAUCUUUUCAGAGGUGCCCAUUUGAAUUACCAUUGGUCCCUUAUCUCUUGGAGCAUCAUCAAUGCAACUUAUGAGUAAAGAUUAUAUGAAAAAACAACAGUUAAGUGUCAUUUGUCAACUAAAUAGACCUUCUAAGAAGAAUGCAGUUUGACCUCUUUCUUAAUUGGCCAAAUACAAGUUGGUGUCAUAACUCCAGGCCACAGUGAGUUAUGGGCAAAGCUAUUUUGCUUAAGCCUCAAUAAAACAGAAUAAAAGGUUUCAACAGGAAAAUAUAAGGGAUUUGUUUUGUUUUGUUUUGUAUCAUUACCUAAGAGCUUUAGGCUAAUUGCCUGGUAAGUAGCUGUCCAUCUGAUGGCCUUUGACAGGGAACCUAAUCCCCAAAAUAAGAUUAUUUUUCUCAAACCAGUCUUGAAAUCUUCUGCAUUGAAACCUAAGUGGCUGUGACCAGCCAGAGAGAAGGUCCUCAGGGUCCAGGGGCUCCUCAGGCUUCCUUUGUUACUCCAUUACUUGCUUCUCUGCCCUCAGGAGCAGCUGCAGAGGAUAGUCCUCAUUAAGCUCAAGCAUAUGACAAUGGGGCAGAACAGAGAAGAAAAACAGCUUAUUAGGUAUAGGCUUUUCAUGAUAAAUUGCUUGUAUUAGUUUUGGAACUAAGUACCUAUUGGAUAGUCAUUAUACUAUUUGUAUUUAGAUAUGGUAGACUAAGGAGCUAUGAAAGUUCCCAUUUUGCUUUCUAGGUUGGAAAGUUUUCUAUUUGAUUCUGACUGUGACUUUCAACCCUUCCAAAAUAUCCUUAUGUAAAUUUCACUUAUUUUAUUGCCAAAAGAUGAAGGGACUUAAAUUUUGUUAUAGGUGUUCCAUCUUGUUAAAAAAAAAAUUUCAUAUUAAUUGUGUAUAGAUCAAAUUCUGGUUAGCGUGGUUUCUUUGAAUUAUUGGGGCCAUCUCAGCAUAGGUCUGUGGUUAUUUUUCCCCUUGAGUAGGAGUUGGUCAUAUUCAAGCAUCCUGUUCUCUUAAAACUCUCCUUUUAAAAAAUAAACACU